rnacentral:lncRNA from 1 species
CUCGCAGCCCGCCUCCAGCAGGAGGGGUCCACCCCACCCGGGACACACCUGCCCAGGGCCGUUGCCUGGCACCUUUUCGAUUUACUUUAAGAAAAUACAACGUGCACACAUUUAUAAAUGUGUAGAACCUAGUGUUGGCAAAGAUGUACGGCGACAGAAACUCAAGUUCUGCUGGGGGUCCCGAAGAUCGGCACAAUGGAGGCGGCAACAUCCAGGAAAAGAGCACUAUGUCCAUUAAAGAAACUGAAUCUGUAAUUAACAGCCUCCCCACAAAGACAGCUCCAGGCCCAGACGCUCACUGGCGAAUUCUACCAACAUCUAAGGAAGUAAUGACACCGCGUCUAUACAGACUUCCAGAAAAUAGAGGAGGAAGGAAGACUUUCCAGCUCAUUUUAUGAGACCAGCAUUAUCCUGAUAGCAUAAACCAGGCAAUCUUCUUGUUACAAGAAAAUAAAAUUACACACUAAUAUCCUUAGUGAACAUAAAUGCAAAAAUCUUUAACAAAAUGUUAGCAAAUCAAAUCCAGAAAUAUAUAAAAAGGAGAAUACUUCACGACCAAGCGAAAUUUAUCCCAGGAAUGCAAGGCAGGCCUAACAUUUGGAAAUCAGUGUAAUUCCCCACAGCAAUAGAGCAAGAAAGAAAAAUCAAAAACAAAAGACAUUUGAUAAAACUCAACAUCCGUUCAUGAUGAAAAAAGAAAAAACUCUCAGCAAACUGGGAAUGGAUGGCGGACAUUCUCAAACUGAUAAAGAGCUGUGAAUAACUUCAUACUGCACGGUGAGAAACUGAAUGCUUCUCCCCCAGGAGUGGGAGAAAGGAAGGACUUGGCUCUUGCCGCCUCUGUGGAACAUCGUGCGGCAGGUCAGGACCCGCCGUGCAAGUCGCCAGAACACAAGGAAAGGCCCACAGACAGCAAAGGAAGAGAAACUGCUUUCUCAUAGACCACACGGUCAUCUCCAUAGAAAAACUCGGAGAAUCUACAAAAACAAGCAAAAAUAAGAAGUGAUUUUGGCAAGGUCAUAGGAUACAACAUCAAUAUAUUAAAAAAGUCAAUUGUAUUUCUUUUUUUUUUUCAAAGAUUUUACUUUUCCUUUUUCUCCCCAAAGCCCCCCAAAACAUAGUUGUAUAUUUUUAGUUGCGGGUUCUUCUAGUUGUGGCAUGUGGGACGCCACCUCAGCAUGGCCUGACGAGCGGUGCCAUGUCUGCGCCCAGGAUCCAAACCGAUGAAACCUUGGGCCGCCUCAGCGGAGCGCGCGAACUUAACCACAUGGGCAUGGGGCCAGCCCCUCAAUUGUAUUUCUAUAUACCAACGAGGAACAACUGGAAAGGGAAAUUUAAAAAAAUUACCACUGACGAUAGCAUCAACAGCCAUGAAAUACUUAGGGAGAUAUCUAACAAAAAAUACAUAAGAUUUGGGUACUGAAAACUACGAAACACUGAUGAGAGAAAUUAAAGAAGACACAAAUGAAGAAACAGACCUUGGUCGUGGGUUGGAAGAUUCAACGUUGUCAAGAUGUCCGUUCUCCUCAUAUUGAUCUAUAGAUUCAACUGGAUCUCAAUCAAAAUCUUAGUAGGUUUUUUGUAGCAACUGACAAACUGUUUUAAUAUUCAAAUGAAGAGGCCGUGAACCUACAAUGCCCAAACAUCUUUCAAAAAGAAUAAAGUUGGAGAACUCAGUUUACCCGAUUUUAAGAUAUGCUAUGAAACAAUAGCAUCUUUUUAAGCGGCUAAAACAAUUCUAUAUUUGUAUGCACAUAACAAACUUCUAAAUAUACAAAGCAAAAAUUGACAAAAUGUAAGGAGAAAUAAACAAAUAAAUAAAUCCACCAUCAUAGUAUCAAUCUUUAGUAAUUGAUAGAUCAAGAAGAUAAAAGUAAAAAAAAAAAACCAACAUUUGCAGAAAAUAGCUUAAAAUCUUAAUUUAAUGGACAGGCAUCCAGACUACAUUGCAUUUAACAACUGGAUGCGCCCAGAACAUUCCAUUUCUUUCACAGCUAGGUCGUAAAGCUAGCCUCAAGAAGUCUUCACAGGAGAGCAGUAUUGGUGUCAACACGGACACAGAGAUCACUGCAGGAGAAGAGUCCAGAAAUAGACCUACAGCAUAAACCGUCAGGCGAUUUUCCAUGAAGGGGCUAGAGUAACUCGAUGAAGAAAAGGUAGUCUUCUCAGUGUUGGAACAGUGUUGGAGAAACCGGGCGCACGUGCCAAGCAAACAACCACCCAACCCAAAGGAAGAAGGCGCCCCCUGCGCCGUCUGCCCAGCCGGCUCGCCGCCAGCUCUCCAGCUGCCCGGUGGUUCUCGGCUUUUCCUUCACAUCCAAGAGCAAGGACCAGGGUGCAGGUUGAUGCCCGCUCGCUGAGGUGACGGCUCAUCCCCUUGUUGACUCCCAGAGCCUGUGAAGGGUUGAGUGAAACCUGACAGCCCCACACAAGAGAACACUAGGUGCCUGGGCACAACGAUGUUUAGAGGACCCCUUAUCAAUAUGGGAAUGCUCACGUCACAAGCUGUGGUGAGAAAACCCAGACACAAAAUGGUAUCAAAAGGCCUGUACUAACACCCCUGAGGAGCCGGGGAGCCUCUGCCCUGUAACCCCCACUGGGCUCUGUCCAGGCCGCCAUCCCUUUCCCUCUGCCUCUGUUCCUGCCGUCCCACAUUUUCUGUGCCCUCACGCGCCCCCUUACCAAGCCCGGGCCCCUCCUUCCAGCACCACCCAGGCUGGCCGCCCCUGGUACUUAUCAUCACCUCCCCCGCAGAACACGAGGGUGGGGCGUCUGUCUGGUCUCCCGGGGUGGCAGGAGCCCGGCCUUGUGGGCGUGACCAGCUCCAUAGCCCCUGGUCAAAUGCCUGAACUGAGAACCCACAGUGCAGGCACGUGGCACCCAUGUUCUGAGGGUGGGGGGAGAAGCAGGCAGAGGGUGUCCCCCACUCCGCCUGCCCUGGAGCACAGGAGCCAGCACAGCUCUGGGGGUGCCACCCCCACCAGGACACUUAAGGACUCAGCAGAGGGCAGGCGCCUUCCUCAGUCCCGGGGCUCCCAGACUGCUGUGUGGCAAGGCCCGGGCCCCUCGUUUCCAGUUCCUGCUCUGUUUACCUCUUAUGAAUCCAGUUAUGUAAAUAGAGGUGGCCCAGCCUGGGGAGGGGCCCCCACCCCCAUCUGUUCCCUCUCCCUCCCCCUUCUGCUCCCCACUGUGCCUACAUAUUUCAGAGGUCCCCUGCCUUGUCCCACUUCAUGCACACUACAUUUAUUCCUUCAUAUCUUUUCCUGCUGAGACCCAACUCCGGCCACCCAGCACCUACUCUGGAUUGCUGGGCCUCCAGCCAGCCAGAGCAUCCUCAGGGGAAAAUAAGGUCCAGAGAGGGAAAGUCCUCUCUGAACAUCACACAGCAGGAUGACCUCUUUCCCGGGCUGCCCAGAUCCACCCCACCUCCAGGAAGAACCUGUAGCUUUUUCCCCGGUCCUCAUAGCCGCCUGAGGUGGUGCCGGUUACUGGACUCACAGCCCCAGAUCCCAGAUGAAAACCGCGGAGGGAGAAGGGGAUACCUACUUAGAUCUGCGCACAGCCCCCAGAAAGGCGAGGGGAGUGGGAGGAGGCGUGCGGGUGGCCGGGGGGUGGGGGGGGGAGAGGGACGGGGGUUUUUGGGCACCAAGCUCAGAAGGCUCCCCUCCCCCGGCACCUGCCCCUGGCACUUGCACAGGCAGAGCCAGACUUCUUGACCUUUGCACUCUGGCCUUUGCCUGAAGCAAAACAGAAAGGCCCGCUCUGGGGGCAGGGCUUCAGGUGGGCUGGUAAGAAUGGGGCUCUGCAGCGUACCCACCCCCCGCCACCCCUCUCCUGUGUCUUCAGACAGUGGCGGGCACAGAGCUGGGAUAAGCUCCUGCCACCUGUAGGCAUCUCACAGGGUACAGGGCCACUGCCAUGUGUCCAGCCGGCAGGUGGGUGGAGGAGGGGCAUCCAGGAGAUGGGAGCAGGUCAGGGAAGGGCUCCCACUGGGGUCCUGGGCAUGUGGCAGUGGAGACACCUGGAGACCGGGGUGGAACACUGGGAGCUCUGUGAUGGAGUGGGUAAGGGAAUGAAGAAGAGGAAGUGGAGCGCCACCCUAGAAGCCACAGAGGAGAACUUUCUAGAAGGCAAGGCAUGACCAUCAGUGUCCUGGGAUGCUGAAAGGCCAGGAAAGACAAGGCUGAAAAGCAUCCAAGGGGUUUGGUGACCCCGAGGUCACUGGGCCCUGAGCAGUGACUGCUGGGACUGGGGAUGGCGGGUGAGGGAGUGGAAGGGGCCCCAAAGCCAGGGAGGUGAUGCCGGCUUUAGAUCUGGAGGGAGGCGGGUGGGGAGGAGAGGAGUUCCCACGAGGGUGAGUCUGGGGGCAGCAGUCUGGGAAGGAAAAAGGGUGGAAGGAGUAGAGCCUCCUUCUCCACAAGAGAACCAGGGGUGGAGGAAUGGCGGCAGGGACGCAGCGGUGGCAGCCAGCGGGGGACAGGAGUGGGGAAAAUCAGAGCGGCUCCCGGAAAGAAGCAGCGAGAACCCAGGGACGCAAAGGGAGCGAGAGGAAGGGGAGCCGAGUCACAGCCCACCCCCGGCCGCGCCCUCCACACACCCUCACCUGUCCGUCCACGUCUCCUAUCCCCGCGGGGAGCUGCACACUCGCUGCGACCGCCGUCUGCCGGCCCGGGGUCCGAGGGAAGGGGGUCCACCGGGCAGUGGUCUGCAUAGCGAGCCGGGGGGUUAGGAGUCUUCGGGACAAAGGUCUGCCAGAAGGGGGCCCGCGGAGAGGGAUCUGCGCGCACGGUCUCCCGGGCCAGCAGUCGGGGCGCACGCCGUUGCUCCCCGUGGCGCGUCGGGAAGACGGGGGGGGGCUGGGGCGCUGCGCCGAGGGGC